rnacentral:rRNA from 1 species
CUACGCCUGGCGUGUCACUUACGUCCUUUGGUUUGUCUGGUUUAAGAAAGGCGCGCCCGGUCCGACCGGAUUAUGCCCGUUGGUUUGUGCGGGGUUCGAAAAAGUAGCGGAGAGCAGAGGAGGGCAAGAGCGGCGGGGGGCUGUAGCGGCAGGAACUGAGGGAGAGGCAACCUUCGCCCUAUCAAGAACCCGGUGGCCUUCGCAGCGUGCGUACCGUCUACUCCUCCAUAGACUGGGUUUCCGUGAGGAUCUCCUAGCAUGCUUCCGAUUCACACAGAUGGUCACCAUACUUAUAGUCUUUACGCAAUUCUCUUAACUUCCACUGCUCUGGCCCGUCUUCGUGACAUGACCGGUCAUGAAGCUAAUGACCUUUACGUAACUGUUCGUACAACGACUCUUCGAGAAACUAUCGAAUUUUACUGUUCCUUUAACAAGAGAGAUCGAUGAAAAGUGAGUUGUCACCAUUAUUUAUCGUAGUGAACGUGCGGAAUAACUGUUAAGUCCAGAAAUAGUAGUAUAUACAUUUUCUUCCAAAACGGACAGCCCAUUGUGCUGUCAAAAAGACGCCGGUGAAAUGUAAAACAAACAGUCUCCGCAACGACCGAGUGCUAUAAAAAAACAACACUUAACUCUAUAAGGGUCCUGACUGACUCCUGAUUUGCGACGG